AAGAACAGUGGCUGAUUAAGGAACUCCAUGCCAACUGCCAAGACUGUGGACUUGUUUUGGCUGCUGAUCCUCAUGUUGGUGUGCAGGUUGACUGAGGGCUCAUUUUCAUUCCGAAGUCUCUGUCAGCUUGGAACAGUAGCAGAACUCAACCAAAGGGAUGCACCAAUACGGGAAUUGUAAGCCAGUGCCAUAUCUGGAAUUGCACAGGUUCUACAUGGAUUAGAAAUACAGAGAAAUGUAACAUGUAUUUAUACAGGUUUAUAAAUGCAGUAAAAUGAAUAAAAUGUAGACAUGUUGGCGCAGUAUCCCAGUGUCACCUACACAUUCUGCUUUUUUUCAAUACCUCAAAUACAUCAUUACCUAAUGGUGAGGAAUAUUUGUCAAAUCUUUCCAAUGUUUAUCAUUUUUAUAAAGCAAUUUAUCAUUUUUAUAAACCUG
ensembl:lncRNA